rnacentral:rRNA from 1 species
CGGGGGGGUAAGCGUUGUUCGGAAUUACUGGGCGUAAAGGGCUCGUAGGCGGCCAACUAAGUCAGACGUGAAAUCCCUCAGCUUAACUGGGGAACUGCGUCUGAUACUGGAUGGCUUGGAUUCGGGAGAGGGAUGCGGAAUUCCAGGUGUAGCGGUGAAAUGCGUAGAUAUCUGGAGGAACACCGGUGGCGAAGGCGGCAUCCUGGACCGAUAUUGACGCUGAGGAGCGAAAGCCAGGGGAGCAAACGGGAUUAGAUACCCCGGUAGUCCUGGCCCUAAACGAUGAAUGCUUGGUGUAGCGGGUAUCGAUCCCUGCUGUGCCGAAGCUAACGCAUUAAGCAUUCCGCCUGGGGAGUACGGUCGCAAGGCUG